rnacentral:rRNA from 1 species
GGAUUAGAUACCCUGGUAGUCCACGCUGUAAACGCUGUCUACUAGCAGCUUGAUUCUUUUAUAGAAUUGUUUUGCGUAGCUAACGCGAUAAGUAGACCGCCUGGGGAGUACGGCCGCAAGGUUAAAACUCAAAUGAAUUGACGGGGGCCCGCACAAGCGGUGGAGCAUGUGGUUUAAUUCGAUGCAACGCGAAGAACCUUACCAUCCCUUGACAUCCUACUAAGAAGCUAGAGAUAGUUUUGUGCCUUCGGGAAAGUAGAGACAGGUGCUGCACGGCUGUCGUCAGCUCGUGCCG